rnacentral:rRNA from 1 species
AUUGAACGCUGGCGGCAGGCUUAACACAUGCAAGUCGAGCGGGGUGAUGGUGCUUGCACUAUCACUUAGCGGCGGACGGGUGAGUAAUGCUUAGGAAUCUGCCUAUUAGUGGGGGACAACAUCUCGAAAGGGAUGCUAAUACCGCAUACGUCCUACGGGAGAAAGCAGGGGAUCACUUGUGACCUUGCGCUAAUAGAUGGGCCUAAGUCGGAUUAGCUAGUUGGUGGGGUAAGGGCCUACCAAGGCGACGAUCUGUAGCGGGUCUGAGAGGAUGAUCCGCCACACUGGGAUUGAGACACGGCCCAGACUCCUACGGGAGGCAGCAGUGGGGAAUAUUGGACGAUGGGGGGAACCCUGAUCCAGCCAUGCCGCGUGUGUGAAGAAGGCCUUAUGGUUGUAAAGCACUUUAAGCGAGGAGGAGGCUCUUUUGGUUAAUACCCAAGAUGAGUGGACGUUACUCGCAGAAUAAGCACCGGCUAACUCUGUGCCAGCCGCCGCAGUAA